UACGUAGGUGGCAAGCGUUGUCCGGAUUUACUGGGUGUAAAGGGCGCGUAGGCGGGGCGGAAAGUCCGAUGUGAAAUCCCACGGCUCAACCGUGGAACCGCAUCGGAAACUUCCGCUCUUGAGUAUCGGAGAGGAAAGCGGAAUUCCUAGUGUAGCGGUGAAAUGCGUAGAUAUUAGGAGGAACACCGGUGGCGAAGGCGGCUUUCUGGCCGGAAACUGACGCUGAGGCGCGAAAGCGUGGGGAGCAAACAGG
rnacentral:rRNA from 1 species